rnacentral:rRNA from 1 species
GUCAGCUAUAUACGACCGUACCGCAAACCGACACUGGUGCGCGAGAUGAGUAUUCUAAGGCGCUUGAGAGAACUCAGGAGAAGGAACUCGGCAAAUUGACACCGUAACUUCGGAAGAAGGUGUGCCCUAUUAGUGUGAAGUGAACAACGGAGCAUGAAUGGGUUGCAAAAAAUCGGUGGCUGCGACUGUUUAUUAAAACCACAGCACUCUGCAAACACGAAAGUGGACGUAUAGGGUGUGACGCCUGCCCGGUGCUGGAAGAUUAAAUGAUGGGGUGCAAGCUCUUGAUUGAAGUCCCAGUAAACGGCGGCCGUAACGAUAACGGUCCUAAGGUAUCGAAAUUCCUUGUCGGGUAAGUUCCGACCUGCACGAAUGGCGUAACGAUGGCCACACUGUCUCCUCCUGAGACUCAGCGAAGUUGAAAUGUUUGUGAUGAUGCAAUCUCCCCGCGGAAAGACGGAAAGACCCCAUGAACCUUUACUGUAGCUUUGUAUUGGACUUUGAACAGAUCUGUGUAGGAUAGGUGGGAGGCUUUGAAGCAGGGUCGCUAGAUCUUGUGGAGCCAACGUUGAAAUACCACCCUGGUGUGUUUGAGGUUCUAACCUAGGUCCAUUAUCUGGAUCGGGGACAGUGCAUGGUAGGCAGUUUGACUGGGGCGGUCUCCUCCCAAAGCGUAACGGAGGAGUUCGAAGGUACGCUAGUUACGGUCGGACAUCGUGACGAUAGUGCAAUGGCAUAAGCGUGCUUAACUGCGAGACUGACAAGUCGAGCAGAUGCGAAAGCAGGACAUAGUGAUCCGGUGGUUCUGUAUGGAAGGGCCAUCGCUCAACGGAUAAAAGGUACUCUGGGGAUAACAGGCUGAUACCGCCCAAGAGUUCAUAUCGACGGCGGUGUUUGGCACCUCGAUGUCGGCUCAUCUCAUCCUGGGGCUGUAGCCGGUCCCAAGGGUAUGGCUGUUCGCCAUUUAAAGAGGUACGUGAGCUGGGUUUAAAACGUCGUGAGACAGUUUGGUCCCUAUCUUCCGUGGGCGCUGCAGAUUUGAGGAAGCCUGCUCCUAGUACGAGAGGACCGGAGUGGACACACCUCUGGUGUAUCGGUUGUCACGCCAGUGGCAUUGCCGAGUAGCUAAGUGUGGAAGAGAUAACCGCUGAAAGCAUCUAAGCGGGAAACUCGUUUCAAGAUGAGAUCUGCCGGGGCCUUGAGCCCCCUAAAGAGUCGUUCAAGACCAGGACGUUGAUAGGUCAGGUGUGGAAGCCAAAGAGAAAAA